rnacentral:rRNA from 1 species
GUGCCAGCCGCCGCGGUCAUACCGGCAGCCCAAGUGAUGGCCGAUCUUAUUGGGCCUAAAGCGUCCGUAGCUGGCCGCGCAAGUCCAUCGGAAAAUCCACCCGCCCAACGGGUGGGCGUCCGGUGGAAACUGUGUGGCUUGGGACCGGAAGGCGCGACGGGUACGUCCGGGGUAGGAGUGAAAUCCCGUAAUCCUGGACGGACCGCCGAUGGCGAAAGCACUUCGGGAAGACGGACCCGACAGUGAGGGACGAAAGCCAGGGUCUCCAACCGGAUUAGAAACCCGAGUAGUCC